CAGACCUCCCUGCAUUCACUGAAAGGGUCUUAAAUCACUCUAGUGCGCCAGCGGCCGCCCGUCAGCUAAUCACCCUCUCCAAGUCAUUUUUUUGCAAUUAAGCAGCUUUUCCCUCCCCGGUCGGCCAUGUCAGAGGUGUUUGCACUGAGCCGGAGUCAGAGAGAAUGGUGGUUCUGUGCCAUCUGUCAAAAUGUGCUAGAUCAGUCAGUUGGUAUGUGAUCCCCGAGCGGAGCGGCUUCCAGCCCUCAUAGUUUGUUUGAUAACCGGGGAGGGUUCAGUUCUAUGGUACUUUUCCAUUAGGAUAGCAAGGCCCUACAGGAAACAUGAUGCAAGAGUUAUCAAAGUUCUACUGCUGCAUUUGAUGUAGCCGUGCCGACCCCAUUGGAGAUGUAUGUUUGAAGAUAAUUGUAGGAAAUCCUCCACCCAACCCAGAGAAACCCUCUCCUGGUCAUCAGCAACCCUGGAGUACCCUACUACCUGACAGUGUUUUUCAGAAGUGCGGAGAGAGAGAGGAGCGUCAGAAACAUGAAACCUAAGAUAGCAGAGUGGAAGAAGAGAACAAGUCGUUAGCACUUUGAAACCAGACACCGGGAGCAGUGUGGGCUUUACUGGGCCUCUACAGAGCAGCGCCGAGCUGCUAGCUUUACGAGAGACAGACGGAUGGAUCCCUUCACCUCGCGCCAUAAAGCCACCAGUCGGGGAUAAAAGAGGACAGAUGCGAGGGGAAGCAUUGAGAGCUCACCUGCACCCAGCAGGGAACAGCCUCUAUCCAGCCAACCCAAGAGGGCCUCUACAUUCAGCCUCCUCUCACUAACACCACUAAUAGGGAACAGGGGCACUGUCAAAUAAGUGGAGAAUCCUUCCUUGUUUUGGAUGGCCUGGGAUCCUUAUUAGCGGUUAGUGCUAGAACACAGCUAUACUGGUGAAGAGUUCAGUGCAGUUAACACGGAUGUUGACAGUGCAGGGCAGAGCAGGCUGCAACAGGUUGCUGCUAAAAGCUGUAAUUACAGUAUGAUCUGCAGACUCUAGUUACUGGGAGAGUGAGAGUGGUGGGAUCCUUGUGAAAAGUGCCAAUUCUGAAUGUAUUUUUAAGAGGCACUUGUUGGAGGGAGAACAUGGUUAGGUAACAGGUU
rnacentral:lncRNA from 1 species